GGACUCUUUAGAGCCGGCCCUCAACAAGAUUCUAUGUCCUAUGUUCUAAGGUCCUUUUCAACUCUGACACUCUGUGUUCUACAUUCUAAGGUCCCUUUUUUCUCAAUAUCCUUGGCCUAGGGUCUCUUCUAAAUCUGAUAUUCAGCUCUGACAUUCUGUGUUCCGUGUGUAACGGCAGCCAUCCCAUGGAGCAUUUGCUGAGCCCCUUGGCCACUUACAGGGAGGGGACUGAAGGACUUGAGUUUCGGCAUGAUGAAACCCUUAUUGGCCUCGGUCCAGUCAUAUCAACGGGACUGUGGGCCUUUGUCUUGUUUUCCUGCCAGCAAAGAAAUUGCUGUUCUACUUCAAACAUGAUACCAUUCUAAAGUCAGGGCAAGAAAAGUACAUGACUUUCCAGAGGGGAGGGUCAUGGAGAGGUGGCGAAAUAGAACAGGACUCACAGAGGGAAGGAACUAGUUUCUCAAUCUAUUAAAAAGUAGGCAUUCUUCCUUCUCUGGACUGCUUCAUGGAAGGUAGGAUAUUUGAGCUGAACUUUGAAGGCAUGGAAGGGGAGAGGGGUCCGGAAGACACUGGAGAAAGAAUAAUUGGGACUUCAAGAUUCCUGAAAUUGGUGGGGUCAAAAGCCCAGGGACGACAUUCUCAGGAGAAGACACAAGUAAAGGAGCAACCAAAGGAAGAUGGGGGAUCUUUGUUCAAGGAAUUUGAAGGCCAAGAACCCUGUUCCCCACCUCAUCCCAGAUGCCU